GAGCCUUAGGGAUGAGGCGGCGGCCGAUUAGGCUGAUGGCGGUGUAACGGACCACCAUACCGAAGAUCGGUACGGGCCAUGAGAGUGGUAGCCCGGAGAGGGACACUGAGAUACUGGUCCCAGCCCUACGGGGUGCAGCAGGCGCGAUACCUUUACAAUGCACGCAAGUGUGAUAAGGGGAUUCCAAGUGCUCAAGCACUGCUUGGGCUUUUGCCAUGUGUAAAUAGCAUGGCGAAUAAGUGGUGGGAAAGACUGGUGCCAGCCGCCGCGGUAACCCCAGCGCCACAAGUGGGAAUCGUUCUUAUUGGGUCUAAAGCAUCCGUAGCCGGUUUUACACAUCUCUUGUGAAAUUGCCAGGCUUAACUUGGCAGUGUGCAGGAGGCACGGUAAGACUAGAGACCGGGAUGGGUCGGAGGUAUUCCUGAGGGAGCGGUAAAAUGCUAUAAUCUCAGGAGGACCACCGGUGGCGAAGGCGUCCGACUAGACCGAAUCUGACGGUGAGGGAUGAAAGCUAGGGGAGCGAUCCGGAUUAGAUACCCGAGUAGUCCUAGCCGUAAACGCUGCCAGUCAGAUGUUGCGUAUUCUACGGGAAUAUGCAGUGUCGAACCGAAGGGGUUAAGCUGGCCACCUGGGAAAGUACGGUCGCAAGGCUGAAACUUAAAGGAAUUGGCGGGGGAGCACUACAAGGGGUGCGGCGUGCGGUUUAAUCGAAUUCAACGUCGAGAACCUCACCAGGGGCGACGGCACAGUGAAGGUCAGUCUGAAGGGCUUACCUGAGGAGCCGAGAGGUGUUGUAUGGUCACCGUCAGCUCGUGCCGUGAGGUGUCCUGUUGUCAGGCAACGAGCGAGACCUGUGUCUCUAGUUGCUAACGUGUCAGUAAUGAUGAGCGAGCACACUAGGGGGACUGCCUUGGAAACAAGGAGGAAGGUGCAGGCUACGGUAGAUCUGUAUGGCCCGAAUCUCCUGGGCUACACGCGCGCAACAAUGGUAGGGACAAUGGGAUGCGACUCCGUAAGGAGGAGCCAAUCCUCGAAACCCUACCUUAGUUUAGAUUGAGGUUUGCAACUCAGCCUCAUGACACUGGAAUCCCUAGUAAUCAGACGUUAGCAUCGUCCGGUGAAUAUGUCCCUGCUCCUUGCACACACCGCCCGUCAAACCAACCGAGCAGGGUUUGGGUGAGUCCUAGUACUUGUAUUAGGCCGAACCUAAG
rnacentral:rRNA from 1 species